rnacentral:rRNA from 1 species
UUCAAUCGCCGGCGACCGGCGCACGGGUGAGUAACGCGUGAGCAACCUGCCUUUCACAGGGGGAUAACGCAUCGAAAGGUGCACUAAUACCGCAUGAGACCACGCUCCCGACAUGAGAGAGGGGUCAAAGGAGCAAUCCGGUGAGAGAUGGGCUCGCGUCUGAUUAGCUGGUUGGUGAGGUAACGGCCCACCAAGGCGACGAUCAGUAGCCGACCUGAGAGGGUGAUCGGCCACAUUGGAACUGAGAGACGGUCCAAACUCC